rnacentral:lncRNA from 10 species
UAAAAUCUCAGGAGUUGGGCUUACAGGGAGAAAAAGCAAAACCUCAGAGGUAUGCCAACAUUUAAAACCCCAAGUCAAAGCGUCAAGCUGCAUACUAGAUUUCUCAAGUCGCCUGCUUGGCCGUCUUUCAAGUUUAGUUUAUUUCCUUUCAUUCCUGCUCUAAAGCUUUUUAAUAAACUUUCAUUCCUGCUCUAAAACUUGCUCCUCUCUCUGCUUCUGCAUUAUGCCCCUCAGUUGGAUUCUUCUUUCAGAGGGGAAAAAAUGGCGGUUGCUGCUGACUCAUACGGAUGUGGACUCAGUGCAGCUAAGUUUUUUUCAAUUACAUUGAUCUUCUUAAAGAAGCAGUUUCUUUGGCUGGGCACCGUGGCUCACACCUGUAAUCCCAGCACUUUGGGAGCCAAGGUAGGCGGAUCACAAGAUGAGAUCAAAAUGUGAUCUGAAUGUACCAAGUAAUACAAAAGCUGAUAUGAACCUGAAUUCUUCCCAAAGGAAGAAAACUGCAAAUGCCAGAGCCCCAAUUUAGGUCUAUAUUUUUUUCUAAUUUGUCCACCAACAUUUCUCCAAAAAUGAAGAUGUUCUCAUUUUCUCCACAUCCUUCUCAUUAUCUACUUGCAGCUCUCCAAUGAUUAUUAUUAUACUAACCUGUUCAUGGAAAUGCUUUCAUCUAUUUUUUUCUAAUGGAAGCAUACUCACAUUUUUCCAUUUAUUUUUUUCCACUUUCAUCCAAGACAUAAGUUAUCCACCCUCUCCCACAUUCCAUUUUCAAUAUUUGACCUUAAAUAUCUCCACUUGUCAAGAUGACUGACAGCUAACACUAAGACAUCAGGUGCAAUACUGAAAUUUUUUUCUUAAGAAAAAGAUCUGGAAAAAUCUUACUAUACCUUUGAAUAUUUCUGUGUCUUUGAAUAUUCUUUGCCUUAACUCCCUGCAGGACUAGAAACUCCUAACUCUCCAAAUUUCCAUAUAAAAUGUGCAUUCUCAAGAUUGUGAACAUUAAGCAGAAUAUAUACUUUAUAAUUUGACCUCUGUUAUUUAGGGAAGUGUUCACAUUUUUAAAUAUGUAAAAUCAAGUGGAAAUGUGAAUGCAAGUCUAUACCAACACUAAUAAAAUAUUUCUUAUUCUCAAUACAAAAUUUCUCAACUUUUUUUCUGGAAACUGUUCUUUGGAAACCUUACCCUAAGCCCUCAAUCCUUUUUUUUUUUUUUUGAAAAAAAAUUUAAUACAAGACCAAAAAAAUUUAAUACAAGACCCUGGCUUCACUUAAAGUUACUUAAUGCCAGGAAAAUAAUGGAAUGCCUUUGUUGUUCCAAACUUUCUACAUAAGGAAAGUAUAAAAUGCAUCUUGUGUUUCCUACCUAAUUGAAAGGUGCUUUUGAAAUUAACUCUUGACAAUUAAAACUUUUAAACUUUAAUAUUCAGAAUUAAAAAAUAAGAAUAUAGUGACAUGUAAACUCAUUGUUCAUAGAAUGGUAAAUUAAUUGUAACUGACCCAAACCAAUAACAUAUAUCUAACAAACUGAACAAUAUUAGCAGCUGAGUUAAAUCAAAUGUAAAAUGUUUUUCUUUAAAAGGGGCAAAUUCUCAAAAAUAUGAGAAAAAUAGGAUUAUUUUUAAGUUUUUCCCUCUUUCUUCAUUGCAUGCAUUUCAAUGUCUUGGGCACUUUAUUUCACACUUCUAAGUGAAAUUUUAAAAUUUGUAACAUAUUCAGAAAAGUACACUAGUUAGUUACAGGGAUACCAGUUAAUGUAUUUUUUUAAGGAGUAUACAUUUAUCAUCAGUACCCAGAUCAAAAAUAUGCUUCAAAAU